rnacentral:rRNA from 1 species
AAUGAACGCUGGCGGCGUGGAUAAGACAUGCAAGUCGAACGGAGUUAGCAAUAAGCUUGCUUAAGGCAAACUCAGUGGCGAACGGGUGAGUAACACGUGAAUAAUCUGCCUUGAAGUGGGGGAUAGCCCUGGGAAACUAGGAUUAAUACCGCAUGUGGUCGAGAGACUAAAGCAGCAAUGCGCUUUAAGAUGAGUUCGCGUCCUAUUAGCUAGUUGGUGAGGUAACUGCUCACCAAGGCCUUGAUAGGUAGCCGGUCUGAGAGGAUGUCCGGCCACACUGGAACUGAGACACGGUCCAGACACCUACGGGUGGCAGCAGUCGAGAAUCAUUCACAAUGGGGGCAACCCUGAUGGUGCGACGCCGCGUGGGGGAGGAAUGUCUUCGGAUUGUAAACCCCUGUCAUGUGGGAGUAAGCUAGUGAUAGUUGAUAGUACCACAAGAGGAAGAGACGGCAAACUCUGUGCCAGCAGCCGCAGUAAAAC